CCCAGACAUAGCAAACUUCCAAGCAUGAAACAAAACUCUGGGGGAUAUAAUCUACAUAAAUAAUGUUAGUAAAUAAACAAGGCGCAAUUGCGCAAAUGCUUGAAAAUUAAAUCUUAGCCAUACCGGGUAACUUUCUCUGUCCUUGCCCAUAACAUUAAGGAGAAACAGAAUCACGGCAACCUCCCCUCAUCUCUUGUAAGUAAAAAAGCUGCUGCUGCUCCAUUUUCUGAAAGUGUUUUUGCUACGUUUUACUUCUUGAGGAAGCCACUCAUAUGAGCUAGUAGCCAGAUCUCAAGAUAAUAUAAUAAUUAUAUGUCAUUGUGUCCCAAAAAAAAGUAAAAUGCCACUUCGUGAGUAUAUAUUUGCAUAAAUAAAUAAAGUUUUAAACUCACCAGUACUUCCAGAUGGACCAGUGUCAAAAGAUGACGCUGGAGCAUGUAGUACAUCAUUUUAUAUUUAACCGAAGACUGAAGAAGGCAACAAUGACUGAUCUGAUUGCCACCAGAAUUGACGCAACGAGAGCUAGGAUUGAGUAAAUGAUAUCAUAAACAGAGAGUUUAAAAAUAUGGUCUUCAAAAGUCUCGUACGCUUGUGGCGCGACUCAACCUCAUUUGAAUACCCUAUCUUAUAAGUUACAAUAUUUGACCGACUAUGAUUUAUAUAAUAAGGCCUUCGUUGAGACCUCUAUCAAGCAGUAUUUUUCCUCAGAUCGAUCGAGAGUACAGCCCAAGUAUGUCUAGAUUUCGUUUGAGAUUAAUUUCCUUUACGAGUUGAGCCCGAAUGUCAUCCUCGUCAAAGAAUAUUUCAUCUUGUGGGUUUAAUAAAGCCCAAGCGAGUCUCGGCCCAAUUUACACACAAGUCCAAGUGAGUCUCAACCUAGUUUGAACGUAUCCCCUCGCAAAGACCGAGUUCAGACUUAGUCUUGACCUCUUUCGAGUAUAAUUCUAAAGCCAUGUCAAGUCCAAGAGCAACCACUGAUCAAUAGAGACAAGCUUUCAACCUUAUAAUUCAUCAUAAGGACUCGAGGAAGUCUCGGCCUUGUUUGAGCAUAAUUACAAUUGUCGCCCUGUUCGAGCAUAAUUACAAUUGUCGAAUGAAAAUAUUCCAUUUAAUAAGGACCCUUAGAAUCCUAGUCAAAUCUAGAUAACUACGGGACACAAUAAUUUAUUUGAUCACGCACAUUUACCAAGUUGGACUAGAAAAUGCAAUGACAAUUACAAAAUGUUUUUUGAUUAGGAAAGAGAUACUAAAUGAGUUCGGAGAAAACUAAAAUAAACAUCAAUUAAAAUGAUCUUACCAUAGUGAGACUCAUGUAUGAUGAUAUUGUUUAUGGUAAUUGCUUUCUGUACAACUCUAAUUUGAGUUCUUGCAUAGGUAAAAAAUGUAGUAAAAGAAAUGAUCAUAUCCAGAGCUUACUUUCCAGCAAUAAGAUUCACAUGUAUGUGAGAAAAGAAAAUAAUAGAUCACACGUAACAUUUCAAUGAGUUCCAUAUUUUGUAUGAAAACACCACACAUCAUAUUCUUAAAUUUUGAUAGAUACAUAUUAACAUUGAAGAAGGUUAGCAGCAGCACGUUCAAAGUAGAAACGAAAUGUCUCAAAUAUUUGAUUGGGACAAAAUUAAUAAACACAAUCUUUUAAGCAAAAACAGAUGGGAUGGAAGAUGAUAAUGAUUAUGAGCAAAACAAACAAUGAAGUUCACUGCUGUUUAUGUUUUAAAUACAAGUUAAUGCAGAGUAUUUAUCCUGCAUAUUAUGGAAAUCAUGUUUAUUUGGAUUUAUUACAGGGUUAAAGAGACAUGCAAAUCAGUAUUAAAGAGACGAUGUCCCUGUUUUUUGGAAAGCACGCUUCAAUAGGCUUCUCAUUGUUUCAGUAAAAUAGAUGAUGUUUUAAAAAAAAAUAAAAAAUAAAAAAAUUCAUGUUUGCAGCUCUAACAAUUUCAUAUAUGAAUCAUGUCUUUGUUAGCAUAUAAUGGCGUUAAAGGGAGAAAGGCUGGAAAAAUAACAAAUAGAAAUUGUAGGUAAACAAUGACAGAUUUGACGAGAUGAUUACCCGAAUUGUAGGUUCUCUUUUUUAGCUUUUGAUGUAAGCCACUUCUCAUGCUGGACUGGAUUGUGCUCACUUACUUCCAUCUGGAAUUACACUUAAUAUCACCCAGAUAGCAAGAAAGGUAAAUUUCUUUAACAAAGUCAGCUAAAUUUUUGUUUUAGCCAAUCUAGCAGACAUGCAUGGACUCAAAUAACCCUUCAUUUGGUCGAAAGAUGGAAUCGGUUAAUUUUUGUCUUUGUCGGGUUAAGAGUGUCUCAGCAGAAUUUAGAACUUUUGACGCUUCUAUAUAUCAACAUUUUCAAUCAGGAAUGUGUCUUUUUCUAAGUCAAUAUAUGUUUAAUUCCUGUUUUUUGGAAAAGCGCACAAG
rnacentral:lncRNA from 1 species